rnacentral:rRNA from 1 species
GGAAUAGGACGGCGCUCCUAUUUUGUUGGUUUCUAGGAGAGCCGUAAUGAUUAAUAGGGACAGUUGGGGGCAUCCGUAUUCAGUUGUCAGAGGUGAAAUUCUUGGAUUUACUGAAGACGAACUACUGCGAAAGCAUUUGCCAAAGAUGUUUUCAUUAAUCAGUGAACGAAAGUUAGGGGAUCGAAGACGAUCAGAUACCGUCGUAGUCUUAACCAUAAACUAUGCCGACUAGGGAUCGGGCGAUGUUAUUGUAUUGACUCGCUCGGCACCUUUCGAGAAAUCAAAGUGUUUGGGUUCUGGGGGGAGUAUGGUCGCAAGGCUGAAACUUAAAGAAAUUGACGGAAGGGCACCACCAGGAGUGGAGCCUGCGGCUUAAUUUGACUCAACACGGGGAAACUCACCAGGUCCAGAUACACGUAGGAUUGACAGAUUGAGAGCUCUUUCUUGAUUGUGUAGUUGGUGGUGCAUGGCCGUUCUUAGUUGGUGGAGUGAUUUGUCUGCUUAAUUGCGAUAACGAACGAGACCUUCAUCGUUAACUAGCCCGGCUCGCCUUGGCGGGUCGCCGGCUUCUUAGCGAGACUUUUGGCUUAAGCCAAAGGAAGUUGGAGGCAAUAACAGGUCUGUGAUGCCCUUAGAUGUUCUGGGCUGCACGCGCGCUACACUGACAGAGGCAACGAGUUUCGUUCCUUGGCCGGAAGGCCUGGGUAAUCAGUACUCCC